rnacentral:rRNA from 1 species
CACAUGCAAGUCGAGGGGCAGCAUGGUCUUAGCUUGCUAAGGCCGAUGGCGACCGGCGCACGGGUGAGUAACACGUAUCCAACCUGCCGUCUACUCUUGGACAGCCUUCUGAAAGGAAGAUUAAUACAAGAUGGCAUCAUGAGUCCGCAUGUUCACAUGAUUAAAGGUAUUCCGGUAGACGAUGGGGAUGCGUUCCAUUAGAUAGUAGGCGGGGUAACGGCCCACCUAGUCUUCGAUGGAUAGGGGUUCUGAGAGGAAGGUCCCCCACAUUGGAACUGAGACACGGUCCAAACUCCUACGGGAGGCAGCAGUGAGGAAUAUUGGUCAAUGGGCGAGAGCCUGAACCAGCCAAGUAGCGUGAAGGAUGACUGCCCUAUGGGUUGUAAACUUCUUUUAUAAAGGAAUAAAGUCGGGUAUGCAUACCCGUUUGCAUGUACUUUAUGAAUAAGGAUCGGCUAACUCCGUGCCAGCAGCCGCGGUAAUACGGAGGAUCCGAGCGUUAUCCGGAUUUAUUGGGUUUAAAGGGAGCGUAGAUGGAUGUUUAAGUCAGUUGUGAAAGUUUGCGG